UGAGUGCCCAGGAGCUGCAGCCCUCUCUGAGCACUCCAGCCCGGGUGGAAUGCAGACCUGGAGGAGGAGCAGGUCAGUUCCCAAUGUCCUGGAAUCUGUGCUUAGUAAAACCAGAGGCUUCUUGGAGGAAAAUUCAUCAUCUGUUGUAGCCUGCAAGGAAAGAAACCCUGGGAGUAUUGCCAAACCAUGAGAACAUCCUCCCAGAGCCUGAAACGGCUACUGCAUGAUAUCAUUUCUCCUCUAGGUUGUUUCAGCUCAUCUGAGAUAAGGGCUUCAAAUCUGAAGGAAUCAGAACAAAUGGUCAGAGCCAUGGCAGCAGAAGCUUUGGACUGGGCAGCAGAGAGGUGCAGUCUCAAACCAGUUUGCACUAAUGAGCAAUAAAUUUUUUACCUGUGGAAAAGGUCACACUUGAAUUUCUAUUUGGUGUUAACAUCUCCUGGAGAAGUGACAGAUAUCUGUUGGGACAGGAGUUGAAGGGAGAAGAUGAAGAGGAAAAAUGAAAAAAAACCCAAACAAUCCAAGCCUGAAAAUGAAGUGGAAUUUUUGGCCAAAUAGAAUGUAUUUAAAUCUUUACUGCUGAUGAAAUCUUGAACACAAGCUUACAAGGGGUUUAAGGACACUUUCCAAAUAUGACUGUACUAUAUAAUCUCUUUUUGGUCAGAUCUGGAACCUUUGAAAUAUCUUGGAAAAGAAGAGCUUGUGAAUGCUAUUUAAUUCUUCUGAAAAAUGAAAAAGCUGUAUAAUAAAAGCUUCCUAGUAUCACCUGCUUUUAUAAGAA